rnacentral:rRNA from 1 species
GCCUUUAGCGAGGCAUGUGCACGCUACUACCAUGGGAUCCCUUGACGUCUUUCAUUGUCUAUCACCUGUGCACUUAAUGUAGGUUGGUACGGUUCUGGUAAAACAGAACCGGAGAACCUAUGUCUUCAUAUACAUCUUUGUGUAGAAAGUCUCAGAAUGUUUACUAUCGGAGAGUCGCGACUUCUAGGAGACGUGAAUCUUUGAGUCAAAAGUUAUUACAACUUUCAGCAAUGGAUCUCUUGGCUCUCGCAUCGAUGAAGAACGCAGCGAAACGCGAUAUGUAAUGUGAAUUGCAGAUCUACAGUGAAUCAUCGAAUCUUUGAACGCACCUUGCGCUCCUUGGUAUUCCGAGGAGCAUGCCUGUUUGAGUGUCAGUAAUUUCUCAACCCCUCUUGAUUUGUUCGAGGGGAGCUUGGAUAGUGGGGGUGCCGGAGACUUGGGCCAAGUCAUUCUCGGUCUAGGAUUUGGGCUCUCCUGAAUGCAUUGGUUGCGAUUGACUUUCGAGUUUGCGCGACAGGCUUUCGCGUGAUAUGAUCGCGUGUGCUGAGUGCAUGAUGAGGUUCGUGCUCUAUAUGUCGAUCCCUUAGAAUAGGG